CCGAGUUCAGGCCCUCGCGGGGCAGAUCUCCCACCCUUGUGUAUUUUAUACUACUGUUGCUUUGGGCAGGCCGCUGGGCUUUGACCUGGCCACCGGCCCUGGAGCUGGUGUGCGCCUUGCCAGAGGACCUCCAAACUCUGGUUAUCUGUGUCGUCUGAGUACUAUACAAUCGUUAUA
rnacentral:misc_RNA from 1 species